UACGGGGGGAGCAAACGUUGUUCGGAAUCACUGGGCGUAAAGGGCGUGUAGGCGGCUGAAUAAGUGGGAUGUUAAAUCCCCCGGCUCAACCGGGGACCUGCAUCUCAUACUGUUCAGCUCGAGCACAUCAGAGGAGACUGGAAUUCCCGGUGUAGCGGUGAAAUGCGUAGAUAUCAGGAGGAACACCGAUGGCGAAGGCAGGUCUCUGGGCCGAUACUGACGCUGAGGAGCGAAAGCGUGGGGAGCGAACAGG
rnacentral:rRNA from 1 species